GUUGUAUAGUCAAGUAAUUAAGUGCAUGUGGUGGAUGCCUUGGCAGUCAGAGGCGAUGAAAGACGUAAUAGCCUGCGAUAAGCUCCGGGGAGGCGGCAAAUAUCCUUGAUCCGGAGAUUUCUGAAUGGGGAAACCCACCUGUCAUAAGGCAGGUAUCGUAUGAUGAAUACAUAGUCAUACGAGGCGAACGAGGGGAAGUGAAACAUCUCAGUACCCUUAGGAAAAGAAAUCAAUUGAGAUUCCCUCAGUAGCGGCGAGCGAACGGGGAAAAGCCCAUUAAGUCAUAUCAGUUUUAGUGGAAUGCUCUGGGAAGUGCAACCAUAGUGGGUGAUAGUCCUGUACACGAAAGGGCUGAUAUGAUGAUGUCGAGUAGGGCGGGGCACGUGAAACCUUGUCUGAAUAUGGGGGGACCAUCCUCCAAGGCUAAAUACUCCUGACUGACCGAUAGUGAACCAGUACCGUGAGGGAAAGGCGAAAAGAACCCCUGUGAGGGGAGUGAAAUAGAUCCUGAAACCGCAUGCAUACAAGCAGUGGGAGCCGACUUGUUCGGUGACUGCGUACCUUUUGUAUAAUGGGUCAGCGACUUACAUUCAGUAGCAAGGUUAACCGCAUAGGGGAGCCGUAGAGAAAUCGAGUCUUAAUAGGGCGUUUAGUUGCUGGGUGUAGACCCGAAACCGGGUGAUCUAUCCAUGAGCAGGUUGAAGGUUGGGUAACACUAACUGGAGGACCGAACCCACUGUCGUUGAAAAGCCAGGGGAUGACUUGUGGAUAGGGGUGAAAGGCUAAUCAAACUCGGUGAUAGCUGGUUCUCCCCGAAAGCUAUUUAGGUAGCGCCUCGGACGAAUACCAUUGGGGGUAGAGCACUGUUUCGGCUAGGGGGUCAUCCCGACUUACCAAACCGAUGCAAACUCCGAAUACCAAUGAGUACUAUCCGGGAGACAGACUGCGGGUGCUAACGUCCGUAGUCAAGAGGAAAACAAUCCAGACCGCCAGCUAAGGCCCCAAAAUUAUAGUUAAGUGGGAAACGAUGUGGGAAGGCAUAGACAGCUAGGAGGUUGGCUUAGAAGCAGCCACCCUUUAAAGAAAGCGUAAUAGCUCACUAGUCGAGUCGGCCUGCGCGGAAGAUGUAACGGGGCUAAAACUAUAUGCCGAAGCUGCGGAUUUGCAAUUUAUUGCAAGUGGUAGGGGAGCGUUCUGUAAGCCGAUGAAGGUGUAUUGAGAAGUAUGCUGGAGGUAUCAGAAGUGCGAAUGCUGACGUGAGUAACGACAAUGCGAGUGAAAAACUCGCACGCUGAAAGACCAAGGGUUCCAGUCCAACGUUAAUCGGGGCUGGGUGAGUCGACCCCUAAGGCGAGGCCGAGAGGCGUAGUCGAUGGGAAAUUGGUUAAUAUUCCAAUACUUCUAUGUAAUGCGAUGAGAGGACGGAGAAGGUUAAGUCAGCCUGGCGUUGGUUGUCCAGGUG
rnacentral:rRNA from 1 species